UAGAGGAUGUGAAAGCACAGGGGAAACUGCCACUCUAAAAACUGAAGAGACCUGCAAAUACAGUGAAUGACCACCUACUUCAAGUAGAAGCUGCCAGAGCCAGUUACUGGUAGGAAGACUUAAAAAGUAAUUCCUGGAGGCUGUGGACCAACUUAAGGGUUAAAGACUCCUGGAGCAAAGUCUUAAGGGACCCCACACUUGUGGGUUUUACCACCAAAAGCCCACCAACAUAUUAAGACUGGUACUACAGUGUAACAGUACAAAGAUGGAGGAGAUGCAACACGCACUGGUUACUAUGUACUAAACUGUGGAGAAGAUCCGGUUGCCUGGGAUGAUGUCAAUCUGCAUGACUCCGGCUCCGAGGUUUCUGAAGAUGGACUGCUUAGCAUGUUCAUUUUUGAAUGAAUGAAUCAGGCCAUGGCCUGUCAAUCUCCA